rnacentral:rRNA from 1 species
UACGUAGGGUGCGAGCGUUAAUCGGAAUUACUGGGCGUAAAGCGUGCGCAGGCGGUGAUGUAAGACAGCUGUGAAAUCCCCGGGCUCAACCUGGGAAUUGCAUCUGUGACUGCAUCGCUAGAGUACGGUAGAGGGGGAUGGAAUUCCGCGUGUAGCAGUGAAAUGCGUAGAUAUGCGGAGGAACACCGAUGGCGAAGGCAAUCCCCUGGACCUGUACUGACGCUCAUGCACGAAGCGUGGGGACA